rnacentral:tRNA from 1 species
GUCAGGAUGGCCGAGUGGUCUAAGGCGCUGCGUUAAGGUCGCAGUCUCCUCUGGAGGCGUGGGUUCGAACCCCACUCCUGACA